AGGCAAAACCGGGUGACCGCCGCGGCGGGGGAAACCCCGUCGGGGAGGAAAGUCCGGGCUCCACCGGACAGGGUGCUGGGUAACACCCAGGCUUCCGGGGCGGCUGAAUGGUCGUCCCAGGGGACGGAAAGUGGCACAGAAACAUACCGCCGCCGGCCGAAGCAUCUGGCGGUCAUUCGUGUGAAUGGCAGUCGUAGCGCCGGCGGUAAGGUUGAAAUCGGACGGUAAGAGCGUCCGGUCGCCUGUGGUGACACAGCGACGGUCAAACCCCACCUGGAGCAAGGCCGAAUAGGGGGACUAUGGGUGUCCGGCCCGUCCCCGGGUUGGCUGCUUGACCCCGACGGUAACGUCGUCCGGCGCGCCUUUGUUGCGCCGACCUGCGGUUGUCUUAAGGGACCUUCCGCGGGGGGCUAGAUAGAUGGUCACCGUCCCACCGGCGACAGGUCGGCGGGAUACAGAACCCGGCUUACAGGUUUUGCCCAAUC
rnacentral:RNase_P_RNA from 1 species